rnacentral:tRNA from 3 species
UGGAAUAUAGCCAAGUGGUAAGGCACUCGUUUUUGGUACGAUUAUUCAAAGGUUCGAAUCCUUUUAUUCCAA